GGGAAACAGGCUGCGGAGCGUGGGAGAGAUUGUGAGGUAAGAAAGGAGAACAAAUUAAGGAAAAAAUAGAUCGAGGGAAUGAAGCCGAGCUGGAGAGAUCUAAUUAAAUUCUGACAGCGAGGGAAAAAGGCCAUGUGUGUGUGUACCUGCGUCCAUGGCUGGGAAUAGAUUGAAUGACGCAAGGUUUAUUCAUGACAUUUGCAGAAACAAUGAGUUAUUCAUAGUGGACUGGAGCAACGGAACAUUUCUGACAGCCAACAUGGAAAAAUUUGAGAUUUAUCCAAAUCAGCACAUGCUCCCAAAUCAACAGUCCCAUCAACCAAUCAGCUUUCAGAG
ensembl:lncRNA